GCGAAGAUGGCGAAAUUGGUAGACGCGCUAGCUUCAGGUGCUAGUGUCUGAUCAUAGACUUGAGGGUUCAAGUCCCUCUCUUCGCACCA
rnacentral:tRNA from 1 species